rnacentral:lncRNA from 1 species
AACUCGACGGUUGGAGUUUCUUCUACCGGCGGUGUGUUUGACUCGGUGGCGGUCAAUGCCGGAGCUUAUUCAAAUAUGGAGGAGCUGGUGGUUUAUAACCCGAGGGCUAUAUUACCUUGCUUCGUGGUUAUUUACAAGGUUGUAGAAUCUUGAAUUUGUUGUAUUAACUUCAGAAAUAAUGCUUUUUCUGACUUUGUAAUAUUGUAGGGAGAUUAAGUUAAUCAUCAUUUAAGAUCUUAACAUAAACCCCAUCUUACUAUUGCAUAAGAUUAAUAAAUUUUGCAUUGAAAAUCGAAAACGACACUUAUUUUGUAACGAAAAAAAUUAUCUAAAACGACACUUAAUAUGAAACGGAAAGAGUAAUAAUAAUACCAAACAUGUUUGCGUCGCAUAUUCAGCUUGCAUUUCGACCGAUGGAAGCUUCAUUGACACUGACCAAGUCAGCUCUUAAGAAGGUCAAACUAUAAUGGCUUAGAUGUGAAGUAACCAUGAUCAAUUUUCAAUGGCUUACUCUAUUUUUUACUUUAAAAUAAAAUAAUUCUAUAAUAAAGUUUUAAGUUUGUUUUAAUGGUAGUCUAUUUUAGAGUAAAAGAUAGAGUGAUAAGCAAAAAAAAAAAUCAAAUUACUCUAUAUUUAGAAUAAAUUUAUUUUUUUACUCUAUUAUAGAAUAAGAAAUAUAGUAUCAUUAGAGCAUUUUUACACUAAAUUCUAUUUUAUAGCAAAAAUUGAGUGGGGUUGGAGAUGCUCUAAUUGUUAAAGCACAUAUAAGCUAACCAAACUAGUUCAGAAAGAAUUAAUGUCAUUUUCUUCUAACUAAUUUCUUAUCAUUAGCACUUUAGAACUUAGUAUAAUUCAUAUUAAAUACUGUUUUCUUUAAGGAAAAUAUAGUGUUAACUGUACCACAACUAACAGAGCAGCAAACAGAUGCCAACAUUAAUUACAAUAUUUUUUACUGACAAAACAAAAUAUUUGAAUAUUAGUACGCUAUUUUCCAGUAAAAAGCUAAUUAUGAUUAAGAAAACAAAUCGAAUGACAAGAAUACUGAAAGGUAUAGAGUAAAACAGUAAAUAAAGAAUUAAAGAAACAUAGAGGCCACCACUUUAAUCUUUCCCUCCUUAUUACCCCAUCUUGGAUCCAUCUUCGAUUUCAACACCAACAAAAAAGCCUUAUAAUUAAAGAACCAAAAAGAAACUCUCACGUUCUCUCAAGAGCUUCUCUUUCAGUUUCAAUGGCCUUACUAACUUUCUUGCCGGAAAACGCAGAGUCUCCAAAACACACUCCACCGCCAAACAAACGCAAGAAACGCGAGAUCAAUCACACCAACCAAACGCAGAAACCACACAAACCGCAAAAGCAGAAAGCAGUAGCACCUCAGAAGCAACCGUCUUCAUGGGACCAAAUCAAGAAUCUCUUGACUUGCAAGCAAAUCGAAGGGUCAAGAAUCCACGACCCUUCCAAGAACUCUCAACCCGGUCCAUCCACAACCACUCACUUAUUAUCACCUUCCAAGCUUGGCUCGUCGUGCAGCUCCAUCUGCAGGUUUCGAGACGUGGCUCACGGCAACACUCGUGUGGUUCACAGAGCAGACCACUCUCCAGACGUAGCUAACUCGGCUACUCCUGACUCGGAGACUCGUCUUCUGACUCGGAAACCUGGUCAACACGGUUCUUCUUCAUCGUCUCGGUCUCUUAGAUAUGGCUCAACUACGUUAUCCGCAACGACGUCAUUUAGAGCCAUGCAGUUCCGUAAACUCUCCGGAUGUUACGAGUGUCACAUGAUCGUUGACCCUAGCAAGUAUACAAAAUUAAAUUCCGCCAAUAAAUUAGCUGUCGUUAUAUUUUUGGUGUUUCAUUUAUUGAUUUUUUUUGAAUUUUAGGUAUCCAAUUUCGCCUAGGGUUCGUGCUUGUUCCCAGUGUGGAGAAGUUUUCCCGAAGCUUGAAAGCUUAGAGCUUCAUCAAGCGGUUCGUCACGCAGGUAAUGUUUAACUUUUUUUCUUUAAUUUGUUGGACGUUAUCACGCUCAAUAUUGAUUUUGGGAUGUACAUAUGUAGUCACGUUUCUAAAGUUAACCCUGGUAUUAAAGAUUGUUUUAUUCAUCUAGUGGCAUUUCUAAAGUUAACCCUAGUACAGUAGUACUAACACAUGUUUUGGUGACAUGGAUUCAUCAUAGGGUUUACCAUAAUGCUAAGCAAUAAUUCACUAACUAGGAUAAAAAUGAGCAGGGUAAGUUUAUUUGUAUAUAUUAUCGAUAUUUUUUUUUAUAUAUUUGAUCAUUUUAUUUAUAAAUAUACAAUAUUUUUUGUUGUUAUUCUAUAAUUUAUUUCUGAUGGACCGGAUCAAUUUUUAUUAAAAAUUGUGGAACUAAACUAUAAUUAAUAUAUUAUGGAUUGAUCGGAUUGUACAUUAAACAAAUUAUGACACAAAAACUUUAUUUUUUUCCACCGAACACAUUCUUGAAAAAAGUAAACAGUACUAUUUUCACAGUUGAAUUAUUUUGACAUUUAUCUUUCAUAUGGUUUUGAAAGAGUUAAGAUUAACCAUCGAAUUGAUACAUGUCAUUUUAAUGUUUUUCGUUGUAUGCUUAAGGAAAAAUUACAUUUUUGUAAUUUAAAAUCGUUUAAAAAACUUCAAAAUAUAACAUAUAAGAAAAAAUGUAACAUAUAAGAAAAAUAUAACAUAUAAGGUUUUCUCAUUUUUGUAAUUUAAAAUCGUUUUAAAAUUUUUAAAUAUAACAUAUAAGAUUUCCUCAUUUUUGUAAUUGAAGUCAUUUAAAAAAAAUCAAAAUAUAACAUAUAAGAAAAAAUCUAAUUUUUUUAUUAUUUGGUCAAUGUGAUUGUUUAUUUUUUUUUAAUAGUAUAAAAAUUAAACAAAAAUGAAGAAAGAUGCAAAAAUUGUUAUCAAAUCUUUAUUAUUCAUAGUCAUUAAUUGUUAUAUAUAUGUUAAUUAUAUUAGGUAAUUAUGUAGCUUUUAUUUAAGAAAAAAAUAAACGCUUCUCAUAUUUUGGGGUGAUAUAAUAUUUCCUAUUAAUUGGAUUUAGACCAACAUUUUUUCGAUUGAUUUUUAAGCUGCCACGUAAACUAAAUUGUCAUCCUAAUUAAGUGACAUCUAAGCAUGAUCUUUUUUUAAUUAGUAUAAAUUUAAAGUUAUAAUUUUUUUAAUGACCCUCAAUUAAUAUAUAUGGGAUAUGCUUUCAUGUUAUAGCUAGCUUAGUUUUUUCAGUAAUGGAAUCAAGAUCAAGAGAUCUCAUUGCUAGUGUCGGUGAUAAUAUCUAUCAAAUAAAUUAGGAAGAUUUGGCAUUAUGUUUAGUUUGUAAUUAGAAUAUAAAUUUAUUUAACGCAUCUCAAAGAAAAAAAUACAAAAUAUAAGAGGAAUAUUAAUGGAGAACAGUAUAUUAUACUUCCUCUAUUCCAAAAAAAAAAGGAUUUUCUAAAGUAUUCACGCAUAUUAAAAAAACAAUAAAUUUUUUACAAUUGAAUUUAUUAUUUAUUUUACUGUACAUUUUCCAAUAAAUAUCAACCAAUAGUAUUCAACCAAUUCAAAUAUUUUCAAUUAAUGUUUUUUAAAAGUAUUCAAUUUUUCAACAUUAACUAGUGAAAGUACUUUCAAAUUUUAGAAAAUCUAUUAUUUUGGAACAAAAAAAAUCUACAAAAUUCUACUUUCAUUUUGCUCGGAAACACUUCGGUAUGCGAUGGGACCAUUGGUACUAUAAACAUGAACAGCUGUAACAUUUCUUAACUAAAUUCAGUGUCCCCUGACGAACCGAAUUUAAAAUUCAGUUUUUGUGUUUUGCCUCGACUUUUAUCAUGUUCCCUGAUUUAAACGUUGUCCUUUAAUUACAGUGUCUGAGUUAGGUCCGGAAGAUUCGGGUCGAAACAUAGUGGAGAUCAUAUUCAAGUCAAGCUGGCUUAAAAAGGACAGUCCAAUCUGUAAGAUCGAACGGAUACUAAAAGUACACAACACUCAACGUACAAUCCAACGGUUCGAAGAUUGCCGAGACGCAGUGAAGGCGCGUGCACUUCAAACUACAAGAAAAGACGCUCGUUGCGCUGCAGACGGUAACGAGCUUCUCCGUUUCUACUGCACCACUCUCACUUGCUCUCUCGGAUCUCGUGGCUCGUCUUCCCUCUGCUCUAAUCUCCCUAACUGCGGCGUGUGCAACGUGAUUCGCCACGGUUUCCAAGGAAAAUCCGGCGCCGGAGAAGCCAACGCAGGCGUGAGGACGACGGCGAGUAGUGGAAGAGCUGAUGAUUUGCUGAGGUGUAGCGAUGAUGCGAGGAGAGUGAUGCUUGUGUGUCGUGUGAUCGCUGGGAGUGUUAAACGUGUCGAUUCUACGGCGGCGGAGAAGAAGUCUCCCGUGGAAGAUAACUCGACGGUUGGAGUUUCUUCUACCGGCGGUGUGUUUGACUCGGUGGCGGUCAAUGCCGGAGCUUAUUCAAAUAUGGAGGAGCUGGUGGUUUAUAACCCGAGGGCUAUAUUACCUUGCUUCGUGGUUAUUUAUAAGGUUGUAGAAUCUUGAAUUUGUUGUUAUAUUAACUUCAGAAAUAAUGCUUUUUCUGACUUUGUAAUAUUGUAGGG